rnacentral:rRNA from 1 species
CAGCAUGGUCUUAGCUUGCUAAGGCUGAUGGCGACCGGCGCACGGGUGAGUAACACGUAUCCAACCUGCCGUCUACUCUUGGCCAGCCUUCUGAAAGGAAGAUUAAUCCAGGAUGGGAUCAUGAGUUCACAUGUCCGCAUGAUUAAAGGUAUUUUCCGGUAGACGAUGGGGAUGCGUUCCAUUAGAUAGUAGGCGGGGUAACGGCCCACCUAGUCAACGAUGGAUAGGGGUUCUGAGAGGAAGGUCCCCCACAUUGGAACUGAGACACGGUCCAAACUCCUACGGGAGGCAGCAGUGAGGAAUAUUGGUCAAUGGGCGAUGGCCUGAACCAGCCAAGUAGCGUGAAGGAUGACUGCCCUAUGGGUUGUAAACUUCUUUUAUAAAGGAAUAAAGUCGGGUAUGCAUACCCGUUUGCAUGUACUUUAUGAAUAAGGAUCGGCUAACUCCGUGCCAGCAGCCGCGGUAAUACGGAGGAUCCGAGCGUUAUCCGGAUUUAUUGGGUUUAAAGGGAGCGUAGAUGGAUGUUUAAGUCAGUUGUGAAAGUUUGCGGCUCAACCGUAAAAUUGCAGUUGAUACUGGAUGUCUUGAGUGCAGUUGAGGCAGGCGGAAUUCGUGGUGUAGCGGUGAAAUGCUUAGAUAUCACGAAGAACUCCGAUUGCGAAGGCAGCCUGCUAA